CAGGGUCUGUGGGUCGGAUGUCUAGUGGUCACACCCGCGGGGAAGAUCUUCUAGCGGAAACGGAAUCUGCUCCUUUCGGGAAAGGCUGAUUGCGCGGUUACGUGCAGCGUGUGUUGAGGAGUGGCUCUGGAAACUUAAAGAGCCCGACGAUCAAGUGAUCUUGCCAGCUACCGUUUUAAUCAACAUGUUUUAUUUUGUUGUGGUACAGGCUCAGGCAUGAUAUUUCAAGCUUGUCAUCAUAUUCAUGGAGGCAGAGACAGGAGAAUUGCUAUUAGGUCCGUGCCAGCCUGGCCUACACAAGCCCAAUGCAAGCCCUGGCAGAUGUCUUCAACACCAGAGUGACACUCAGCCUGAAGGCCAGGAUUGAAGGCUGGAAGUACAGGGGCAAGAAAUACCUUUGAAAAUACACCCUUGUCCAAACUGCUCACUGGUGAGCUGCCUGUGAGCCAGGGCAUGAGGCUUUGGUGGGGUCACUACUUUUCAUUCCCUCCAAGAUGGACAAGAUGUUUGUUUUGUGCACAGUAAGUGGAACAUGGGGCCUCCGGCAGGGUGCUUGUAUGUCCUCUUCAGAAACUAAGGAAUGG
rnacentral:lncRNA from 1 species